GCCGUCUAGUUUGAAUUGGUCGACUUUUAAAUUUGAACUUUGAAACCCGUUACGGGGUCUCUACAAUUUAUUGGUUAGUUCCCGUAAUUUGUUUUGAGCUCGUCUCACUACGAUUUAACCAUCGUUUCAACACACGGGCGAUCCCCGAGAUACACGCAUAAUGGAUCGAAAUCCCAAAAUGGCUGCAAAAUACCGCGAAUUUCCACGUAAGUCGAAUCUCGUGAUUUUUAACCAAAAUAUCACUUAUUUUUGUAAAAUUUUGUAAGUAAAGGGUAGUUUUAGUCACUUAAUUGAUUAUUUAAUUCGACUCUCACUGAAUAUAACAGUUUUAAACUUUUGAUAUAAUGUUUAACAUUCGAUCAAAAGGGAAAUUGUUCCAGACUGAUCCGGAUCGAUCUGGACUGAUACGGAUCGAUCCGGACUGAUCCGGACUGAUCCGGACUGAUCCGGAUCGAUCCGGAUCGAUCCGGAUCGAUCCAAACUGAUCCGGAAUCAAAUUCGGCUAUGAUCCGGAGUCGGACCCAAGCGCCACAGAUUAAGCUUAAACGACUGGAAAAUUGAAUAUCCAUAGAAAAAAAUGAAAGCUCCACAGCUUCAUUGUUUUGAUCAAUAGAUGGCGUAUUACAACUCAUCAUUAUAUUGCUAUCCUUUUCUUGAAAUGUGUUUCGACAAGUUUCAUCUUAUCAUGACCUAUAUAGCCUUAUAACUUUCUGAGCAAAAAUCUAUAUGAAUGGUCGUGUGGUCAGAUACGUGGAUAUCAACACCAACGACCAUUACUCAAAUCUCACUUGCUUCAGUGCUGAUGGUUUCGGUUGGAGUUUAGUAUUUAAACAAUCGCAUCGCCGUUCUAGUUCUAGCGAUGCAUAACUUCAAUGCGAAACCAUACAACAGUACAGAGGAAACGAGAAAGCUCUCCUCCAAGCGAGGAAGCUCAACUGGUUGGGUAUCCCACAAACAGAUGGCGCCACCAGCUUUUUUUUGUUGCUAUUUUUAGAAUACAUGAGUCGUUUGCCGUCUGCUAAACGAAGUCUUUCUAUAUUCCGUUUAGGUAGAGAACUUGAGUCGUUUAGAAGCCGUUUAGUGGUCGUUUAGUGGAUUUGUGGCACUUGGGGAGUCAUAUUUUGCGCACCGGAGUCGGAGUUGAUCCAUGACUCCGCUCCGGAUUACCCAUUACUACUACCAAGCUCCAACUGGACACAGCAAGGGAUAUCACGGUGAUAUCAAAGCAAACCCAGAACAACUUGGGUUGAAUCAUUACCUACGACAGUCUACUGUAGAUGUUGUAUGCGUGUUGAUGUGUGACACUUGGGAUAGAUUUUUGCUCAAAAAAUUAGAAGGCUAUAUAGGUCAUGAUAAGAUGAAACUUGUCGAAACACAUAGCAAGAAAAGGACAGCAAUAGAAAGUUUUUUUUGUGUGUCUGGCAGGGGCCAAUAAGUAGAACAUUUUACUCGCUCUUUUGUUUUAACCACCCAUAGUGCAUCAGCGUUCAAAAUCUUGUGCGCGAAAGUAGCCCAUUUAUUUCACGCGUGCUAAACAUAAACGCACGUUAUUUUCAAUUUCAAAAUAGGAUUUUUUCGUGGAUUAUUUCCCCAGUGCCUUGCCAACAAGAAUUCGCAAUUGGUCAACAGUCUUUAAAAAUAACUACAAUAUUCGCAAAAGAAAGCUCCAGAUUUGGUUUGUAUAUCGAUCUAUUUAUUUGCCACUACAGUAUAAAAAGCAAUUUCCAUCAAUCUUUGGAGGUUGUUACACACAAAAAAUAAGGGAAAAAUGUUUUGAACCAAAUUGAAAUCGGUCGAAUUUAUGCACACCGAAAUGAUAUUUGUUUGCUUUGCUUCUCGAGCGAACUUACAAACUAAACUGUUAAACGUUAAACUCUACUUUCUUUUUGCUUCAUUAAAAUUGUUGCACACCGACAUCGAUUGGUGGAAAACUAUUCAGAAAGUGCUGCAUUGCUGCAGUGCCUACACCUAAUACACUGGCUGCUGUACUGCAUCGAGUAGUAGUAGAAUGAUUGUGACAUGAUGCUGUAUUUUUGUAGCCAUCAAGCAAACAUUCAACGCGGCACGAUAAGGCAUCACAUAUUAGGCAUAACGUUGCUUUGCUAUUUGUUGUGCCGUUGGGCAUUCCGGUUCUAUUGUUCUUGUGCAGCACCAAUGCGGGGAGUUUUACCAUUUCCGGUUGAACGGUUAUCGGAUCCCCCCUCGGCAUCGGCGUAAGGCAAUCAUUUUCAUUGGUAUAUAUGUGGUUUGUUUGUACGAGGCAGCAAUAUUCACAGCGAACGCGUGAUCGCAACUGUUAUUUGUGUGACUUCAUCUUCUAGACAUCCGGUGCUGCAGCAUGCUAAUUGUACAUUAAUUAUAGUUGUAAAGAAGAACAAACAAAAAAUACAAAA